rnacentral:lncRNA from 1 species
GAAGGCAAAAGUAAGCAUGAAGCAGUAAAACACAUGCCUAAAACAGUGAAAGUUCAACUACCAGCUAAGAGGUAAGAAACACCUCACAAACUAAAUAAGUACAGACAAGGCGUCCAUGCCAGCGAAGAACCACAAAGCUCUGGAUAGAAGGGACCAAAACUCCAAGAGACUAACUUUGUACACCUACACCCAGGGAAUAAGAGGAAACAGAUAAACAACCUGAGGAUAUAAGAAUGGAAGCCAACCACCAAAAACUAGAGCCCAAGCUUGAGAUCAGAAACAACAUUCCAAGCCUACUGAGUAUACACGAAGGAAAACACUAUCCAAACCUUGAGUGACAAACGUGGAGAAAGAGAGAGACACUAAAGAAGCAAGACACAAUGUAAAAUACAACGAAAUGAAAGAACAUAGAGAAAAGGGAGAAAAAAAACUAAAUCAGCAAGCCAUAUAGCCGUCCUCGAGAUAUGAAAGAGAGCAUAUAAGUCGUAUCACCAAAAACCACAUCUUGAAAACAAAGAUGAACAUGGACUAUCAACGGAAAACUAACGACAAGGAAGACAACAUCACGGACGCCUAAACUCUAACCAACCCAUGGAGAUGCAGUCUCUAACAUCGGAAGAAGAAAAGCAGCCAAUAUUGAUCGGAAAAGCUUACAACACAGUGAGAAACAGCUGCACAACUUUGAACUCAUAAACCCAAUUUCGAACAAGUAGAAGAUAAUCUCACAUGAGAAGCAGGCGAAGAAAACUUUAUUUCAAAACAUACCAAUCAUUUCUGAAAAAAACACCGCACACCGGACAGUUAAACAAAAUACAUAUGCAGUGAUAGGUUAACGUCAAAUUAUGGGAAGAUGGCAAAAAACAUCUUAAAAAAAAUAAUUUUGAAAAUUUUGAAAAUAAAAUAAAAUACAAUUAUGACGUUAAAACUGUUAAUUUUUAAAUCAACAAAUGUCUAAAUGCAAAGUUAUUGAAAUUCAAUAUGCUUUAUAUCAGAUGAUCACUUUACGUUCACAUGGAUGCAGAGCUACCCUCUUGGUUAACAGAGUCUAUAUGAGUCUGUUUUCUUUUUAUUGAUGUCAAAAAAAAAAAA